CUUUAAAGAUUCAAAAGAUACAAAAAAUUUAUUUCUCUAUUCAUUAUAAAACAUUUGAUUUCAAAUCAUUUAUAAAACACUGUGUUAUUCAAUAUUUAAUCAUAUUAAUAAUAAUAAGAAGAAGAAGAAUUAAAAUAAAUCAACACCUGAAUCAACCUUGUAAUUUGAUACCUAGAAGGCCUACUUAAUCUUCUAGAUCUAACUUAUUGACCAGAUUUCUUACACAGAUAUACAAGAUACAUGCAAAACUAAAAGCAGUUAAACUGUGUGUAGACAAACUGGCACAAAUUAUUUCAUUUUGCGAUACAAUUUUAUAACAGCACACAUUUUGUUUUCGAAAUGUAUGAUUGAAAUAGUUUAGCUCUACCCCAAGAAAAAUUCUGGCCAAAGUGGAAUACUGUAAUGACGCAAUCGUGUCCUCCGCACAGUACGUCACUGUUUUAACACUUCAUUUUAAGUUGUUUUUUUUCUAGCUGAGUUUCUUGAGAUUUCUGUGUUUCUUUGUUUUACUUUAUUUCAUUUAAUAUGCAUACUGCCCAUAUGAUUUUUAGAGUAGACUCAGCAGGAACUAAAACGUGAACAUCGAAUGAAUUGAACAGAGACUUUUAAAUGUACAUGUGUCUAACACAAGACUGACUUUGGGUAAAAGUAACGAGACCUAGGUUGAAAGCAAUAGAUGAUUGAAAUACAAACAGAUUCAGAUGAAAGCACUUUGGGGGCAUGUGUACAGGUUACAUCAGAAAGACAAUUAGGCACACAUUGACUGGACACAGAAGGUGGGUCAGUCAAUGCCAUCGGGUGACCAUCAGAAAACAUUAACUGGCUGGACAAAUGGUGCCGCAAAGUAUAGAGUGGUUCUCACUGCGAUCGAACACACACGCAAAUCAUCAAAAGUUUCACAUUUAAAAAAAAAACAGAUAAACCCAACCAUCUGCGACACUAACCUAUACAAUAUACUUCUAAUACAAACACAUCCAUUCAUCCAAACACGGCUAAAAGAAACAAACAAGUUGAAGCAAAGAUAACACGUGGACAAGUGGUGCCCAUGUGUUCCACAUGGAUGCACAAAACGUGUCCACCUAUCUGGGACUUAACUCUUUCUCUCCGUAAUUCAUUUGCUCAUUACUAUUUCACUACCCCUGUUAUGAUUGGGCUUCAACAGCUUUAUUGUUUGUUAUCAGAAAAUGUUUUAUUUGGUAUAGAAUUAAAGGGAAUUGCAUGCUCUUUUUAUAUAAUUCAAAGUCAAGUUUAAAAAAAUUAACAUUAAUUUAAUUUAAUGAAAUCAAAAUCAACGAUGGUAUCGUCGAUUAGGAGAGAAAGAUUUAAAACCUUGAGAAGCAGAGGAGGAAAAAUGCUUACUAAUACCAAGGUCAAGAGAUCAAUAUUUACAUCAAAUAAGCAAGAGUUCCUUUCAGUCACGUGUUAGAUUCAUUCAAUCUUUAAAAAGCCUAAAAUUUCAAAAUUAACAUAAAUAUAAAAAAAUAAAAGGUUACUGUGAACUGAAGUACAGAGAAUUGAAUUAAGUCAUAUCCAUCACGAUUGGCUGCGACAAUAAGGCAUGUGACUAAUGACAAUUUGCUAAAUAUUAUUCAAAGGGGUCAAUACCGAUUAAAUAUUAAUACACAUUGUCUUAUGAAGUUUGGAGACAUCAAUCACUUACAGUCAAUGUCAGUCUGUAUAACAUAAAAUGUACAUAUAAAACAAAUGAAAGCUCUUAGGGAAGGAAAAAACAUAAAUAGCUUACAAAGCUGAACAAAAAAUAUUAUACAGAUAUCAGAUUACUAUUUCAUUGCCUGCUUCUAUCGACACAGUUUCCACAGCAUUGUGUUCUAGAUAUAGUUACCUACCCUGUAACUUUAAAAAAAAAAAAAAAAAAGGAAUCUGCAAAUUGUGAUACGACUUUGUAAACAAUGAUACGCAUUAAGAUGUUUUAAUAAUGAAAAAUAAAAUAGUAUAAAAAAAUAUGCAAGGGCUAUUAAGUUGGUACUACAAGCAGGAAGUGACAUUUCGCAGCAUUAUAGUCCUACAGACAACUGUCAUACUCUUGAUAUCUACAGACUUUCACUGUUUCUGAUUCUCCCGACCCGGCCAACCAUGUGGCACGUCCCGAACGGCACCCUAUGUUAUCGGUUUCUGCACUAAUCCCUGAGUUCAUUAUGUCCCAGCGCCCCCCCCCCCCCCCCCCC